UACGGAGGGGGCUAGCGUUGUUCGGAAUUACUGGGCGUAAAGCGCACGUAGGCGGCUUUGCAAGUUAGAGGUGAAAGCCCGGGGCUCAACUCCGGAAUUGCCUUUAAAACUGCAUCGCUAGAAUUGUGGAGAGGUAAGUGGAAUUCCGAGUGUAGAGGUAAAAUUCGUAGAUAUUCGGAAGAACACCAGUGGCGAAGGCGACUUACUGGACACAUAUUGACGCUGAGGUGCGAAAGCGUGGGGAGCAAACAGG
rnacentral:rRNA from 1 species